rnacentral:rRNA from 1 species
UACGUAGGGUGCAAGCGUUGUCCGGAAUUAUUGGGCGUAAAGAGCUCGUAGGCGGUUUGUUGCGUCGGCUGUGAAAUCCCGAGGCUCAACCUCGGGUCUGCAGUCGAUACGAGCAAACUGGAGUGUUGCAGGGGAGACUGGAAUUCCUGGUGUAGCGGUGAAAUGCGCAGAUAUCAGGAGGAACACCGGUGGCGAGGGCGGGUCUCUGGGCAACAACUGACGCUGAGGAGCGAAAGCGUGGGGAGCGAACAGG